rnacentral:rRNA from 1 species
UACAGAGGCCCCGAGCGUUGUUCGGAUUCAUUGGGCGUAAAGGGUGCGUAGGCGGCGGGGUAAGUUUGAUGUGAAAUCCCGGGGCUCAACCCUGGAAUUGCAUUGAAUACUACCUUGCUAGAGUACCGGAGAGGAAACUGGAAUUUACGGUGUAGCAGUGAAAUGCGUAGAGAUCGUAAGGAAGACCAGUGGCGAAGGCGAGUUUCUGGACGGUAACUGACGCUGAGGCACGAAGGCCAGGGGAGCAAACGGGG